CGCGUUCUUCCUUUUCCAUCCCAUUGUUGCUGGCUACUGGUAACUACAAUGGCGUGGUUGUAGAGUUUUUACCCGUAACGACUACCGUACGAGGAUCAUUCUUUGGCAGGAGAUGCGUGGAGUGAUCGGCAUUCUCGUAGUCGCACUCGGAAACGCGUUCAAUUGGUUUUGAAUUCAGGCCAGUACAAACUAAAAAUAAUGCUCUGAGCUCUGCAUAUCCUUACCAGGCUCUGGAUUGACCAUGAGACUGCCCCGCUUUCUAGCGAGCUUGACGAGAAUUCUGGAUAUGACGAGAGAUCUAUUGAUUGGUUUUCAGAAGUGUAGGAUGCAGUGAAGCUCAACCUGUUGUCUUCGCACUCGGAGCUGGUUGAGAGCUGGGUCGGAGUUAUUCCAGCUUUGCUCCAUCUGUUGUCUUCAUGGUCAGAGCUGGUUGAGAGUCGGGUCGGAGUGAAAACGGGUGGUUUGCCCCAUCUGUUGUCUUCAAUCUCAGAGCUUGUUGAGAGCCGGGUUGGAGUCAAUAUGGGUUUGCCGCGUUUGUUGUCUUCGAACUCAGAGCUUGUUGAGAGUCGGGUGGGAGUUAAUCCCGAUCUGCUCCAUCUGCCUUCAUCGAACUCAGAGCUGCAGUUUGAGAGCUGAAUGGAAGUCAAUCCAACAUCCAGAUUGUCAGAAAAGGCCGGAAACAUCUGAUCCACGCUCGGUCUUCCACUGCUCACAAAUGAUAUGUCGGAAUCCAUUAUUAAGGGCUGAAACAAAGAGAGCAGGAAGUGAAGAUAUGGUGGUAAGAAGCAAGAUGGAGCGAAAAACCCACAUCCUUUCGGGCGCAAAAGCAGCGGAAUGGAAGAAACAAAUCCUUCACGUCGUCCCCAUGCUUAGCACUAGGUGUGGAUCCUGCAAAAACAAACAAACAAACAGAACAUUACAGAUCAGACAACCUCUUAAAAGAGGUUUUCGCUGUGGUCAUUUACCCGAGAAGGGAGGAGUAGGAACGUGUUUGACUCUGACAUGAACAAGAGUAAGGGUCUGGGCUCGGGUUAUAAGGUUAUCGAUCGCCCAUUUCAAAGCGUUUUGGCUUCCUUUGUCUCGAUCAAUCGCUACUGCGAUGCCUUCUUCUCUUCUCUCUGUGUUCUUUCUCACCAUUUCUCUCUUCAUAGCCUUCUCCCAAUGUUUCUUCUUCUUCUUCUUCUUCCCCUUCCUCUCUUCUUGAAGUGGUUCUUGUCUGGUUUUUUCUUUUUCUUCCUUUCCACUGGCUUUCUGUCUAAUGGAGUUGGUGUGUAUAUAUUAACAUGCUUCGUUGGGGUUUGAAUGCAAGCGUUGAAAUCUGCUAA